rnacentral:rRNA from 1 species
UACGAAGGGGGCUAGCGUUGUUCGGAAUUACUGGGCGUAAAGGGUGCGUAGGCGGCGGGGCCAGUCUGAUGUGAAAUCCCGGGGCUCAACCCCGGAACUGCAUUGGAUACUGCCUUGCUAGAGUACUGGAGAGGGAACUGGAAUUUACGGUGUAGCAGUGAAAUGCGUAGAGAUCGUAAGGAAGGCCAGUGGCGAAGGCGAGUUCCUGGACAGUUACUGACGCUGAGGCACGGAAGGCCCAGGGGGAGCAAACGGG